UACAGAGGUGGCAAGCGUUGUUCGGAAUUACUGGGCGUAAAGGGCGCGUAGGCGGCCUUCUAAGUCAGACGUGAAAUCCCCGGGCUUAACCUGGGAAUGGCGUUUGGGACUGGGAGUCUGGAGUGCGGCAGAGGAGACUGGAAUUCCUGGUGUAGCAGUGAAAUGCGUAGAUAUCAGGAGGAACACCGAUGGCGAAGGCAGGUCUCUGGGCUGACACUGACGCUCAUGCACGAAAGCGUGGGGAGCAAACAGG
rnacentral:rRNA from 1 species